rnacentral:rRNA from 1 species
GUGUCAGCCGCCGCGGUAAUACGGAGGGGGCUAGCGUUGUUCGGAAUUACUGGGCGUAAAGCGCGCGUAGGCGGUUUGCCAAGUCAGAGGUGGAAGCCCGGGGCUUAACCUCGGAAUUGCCUUUGAGACUGGCAGGCUUGAGUACGGGAGAGGUAAGUGGAAUUCCGAGUGUAGAGGUGAAAUUCGUAGAUAUUCGGAAGAACACCGGUGGCGAAGGCGGCUCACUGGUCCGGUACUGACGCUGAGGCGCGAAAGCGUGGGGAGCAAACAGGAUUAGAUACCCUGGUAGUCCACGCCGUAAACGAUGGAUGCUAGCCGUUGGACAGCAUGCUGUUCAGUGGCGCAGCUAACGCAUUAAGCAUCCCGCCUGGGGAGUACGGCCGCAAGGUUAAAACUUAAAUGAAUUGACGGGG